UACGUAGGGUGCGAGCGUUUGUCCGGAAUUAUUGGGCGUAAAGAGCUUGUAGGUGGUUUGUCGCGUCUGCUGUGAAAAUCCGAGGCUCAACCUCGGACUUGCAGUGGGUACGGGCAGACUAGAGUGUGGUAGGGGAGACUGGAAUUCCUGGUGUAGCGGUGAAAUGCGCAGAUAUCAGGAGGAACACCCGGGUGGCGAAGGC
rnacentral:rRNA from 1 species